AGCGAAAUCAAACUGCCAUAAAACCGAGUACCACUUUCUAGUAACGCACGACUUAAGUGAUUUACUAUAAACGCUACAAAUGUUGUCCGGACAAGUUUUGCGGUGGAGGAGGAUUUUCCACAACCUGGCAACCCAAAGAAGCGCAGCUCUAUGCCUUGACGUCGGGCCAACACCAGCUCCCUCUGUGCCACCUGCAGCUCCUCCCCGAG